rnacentral:rRNA from 1 species
CCCUUAGAUGUCCGGGGCUGCACGCGCGCUACACUGAAGGAAUCAGCGUGCUAAAACCAUUGUCGAAAGGCAUUGGUAAGCCCAUUAAAAUCCUACGUGAUUGGGAUCGGGAAUUGCAAUUAUUUCCCUUGAACGAGGAAUUCCCAGUAAGUGUGGGUCAUAAGCUCGCGUUGAUUACGUCCCUGCCCUUUGUACACACCGCCCGUCGCUGCCCGGGACUGAGCCGUUUCGAGAAAAGCGGGGACUGCUGCUGUCGGGGCUUUCGGGCCUUGGCUUCGGUGGAAACCGCUUUAAUCGCAGUGGCUUGAACCGGGCAAAANUCGUAACA